rnacentral:rRNA from 1 species
CCUACGGGAGGCAGCAGUGGGGAAUAGUGGGCAAUGGAGGCAACUCUGACCCAGCAACGCCGCGUGAAUGAUGAAGGUCUUCGGAUUGUAAAGUUCUUUUCUAAGGGAAGAAGAAAGUGACGGUACCGUAGGAAUAAGCCUCGGCUAACUACGUGCCAGCAGCCGCGGUAAUACGUAGGAGGCAAGCGUUAUCCGGAAUGACUGGGCGUAAAGGGUGCGUAGGGGGUUUGACAAGUUAGUCGCGCAACUCCGGAGCUCAACUUCGGAACUACUCCUAAAACUGUUGGACUUGAGUGCAGGUGUGGCAAUCGGACUUCCUCGUGUAGCGGUGUACUGCGUAGAUAUUAGGCGGACCACCAGUGGCGCUGGCGGAUUGCUAGACUGUACCUGACACUGCGGCACGACAGCGUGGGGAGCAAACCGGAUUAGAUACCCUUGUAGUC